rnacentral:rRNA from 1 species
GGAACUGCCAUUAAAACUUUUCAGCUAGAUUAUGAUAGAGGAAAGCAGAAUUUCUAGUGUAGAGGUGAAAUUCGUAGAUAUUAGAAAGAAUACCAAUUGCGAAGGCAGCUUUCUGGAUCAUUACUGACACUGAGGAACGAAAGCAUGGGUAGCGAAGAGGAUUAGAUACCCUCGUAGUCCAUGCCGUAAACGAUGUGUGUUAGACGUUGGAAAUUUAUUUUCAGUGUCGCAGCGAAAGCGAUAAACACACCGCCUGGGGAGUACGACCGCAAGGUUAAAACUCAAAUGAAUUGACGGGGACCCGCACAAGUAGUGGAGCAUGUGGUUUAAUUCGAAGAUACGCGCAGAACCUUACCAACACUUGACAUGUUCGUCGCGACUCUAAGAGAUUAGAGUUUUCGGUUCGGCCGGACGAAACACAGGUGCUGCAUGGCUGUCGUCAGCUCGUGUCGUGAGAUGUUGGGUUAAGUCCCGCAACGAGCGCAACCCUCACUUUUAGUUGCCAUCAUUAAGUUGGGCACUCUGAAAGAACUG